rnacentral:rRNA from 1 species
UACGUAGGGUGCAAGCGUUGUCCGGAAUUAUUGGGCGUAAAGAGCUCGUAGGCGGUUUGUCGCGUCUGCUGUGAAAACUCGGGGCUUAACUCCGGGCCUGCAGUGGGUACGGGCAGACUAGAGUGUGGUAGGGGAGACUGGAAUUCCUGGUGUAGCGGUGAAAUGCGCAGAUAUCAGGAGGAACACCGAUGGCGAAGGCGGAUCUCUGGGCCUGUCCUGACGCUCAGGCGCGAAAGCUAGGGGAGCGAACAGG